GCGGAGCGAGAACACUUCCGGGUAUGAGAACCGUACUCGCUGCUUCGCGUACUUGUGAAUUGGAACCGAACUUGGACUCAGGCUGAUGACGUUUCACAAGUAUGGGAGUACGCAAGUACGGAGGAAGUGCAGCUCUGUUCACAUCGUGUGCUCUACUGCCGCGGUGUGGAUGCUUAUGUAACUGCAGUAAAAUAUUAUUACAAGCCGUAUAUCCCAGAAUGCAUUUCACCGGAACAUAGCAGCAGAGAAAAGAAAUAUCAACCUGAAAUAGACAUUUUUUCUGUGUCCCGGAGCAAAGUUUUAACAUAAUUUGAGGAUCCAGACCCUGAAAUGAGACGACUACUGACUGUUGUAGAUGGACAGAUGGACAAAGCAGUUCUCUGUCCCCAGGAGGUUAGAGACAGAGCAGCGAUACAGGCCUGACGUCUGAGAGGACACAUUGAUCAUGUGGACAGAGCCGGACACGUCACCUGAGACAGAAAGACAGAGAGAGGACAGCGGUCAAGCUUGUUUGUUUGAGUAACAUUGCUGCAAACAUGAACGACGUAUGUAUGUUAGUGAGGAAGUGAGAUUUCCUGUGGAUUCAGUUUGUCCCAGUGGAUCUGUGGAGUGGGGACUCCUUCUGUCACAGAGCAGGACAGUGUGACGCUUCCUCCUGCAUCAACGUCUCCAUCCCACUGACACACGGGCAGUGAGGGCGGAGCUGCACAAAUCAACAACAAGGUCAUGAUGAGUGAAACGACACAGAUUCAAAAACAGGUCAAACUUGAAAACCCGACUCAAUUCCUGCUUAAAUAUAUAAAUAAAUGGCUUUUCCCUGUGUCUGUGUGUGUGUGUGUGUGUGUGUGUGUGUGUGUGUGCGCGUUCAUGUUAGUGUGAGAUUGUUGCAGGUGGAUCCUGGGAGCUGACUGGUCCAGCACAGGAGGUUCUGGUAUAGUGGAAGUGGACUUCCUUGAACCACACAGUCAGACAUUUUGUGCUUGUUUUUAAAGAAACUUUUUUAAAUAGUUUGUUUUACUUGUUGCUGGUUUCUUGGGAAUUGGGAGGAGGGAGUCUCCUCAUUCAUGUUGACAACAUCAGUUGACAAAUAUAGAGUUACUCAUCAGAAACUUAUGUACAAACCAAAGUAAUGCAUGUGCCAAUGACAGCUGCUGUUUCCUUCACCACGCAGCUCCAAUGAACAGUCCCAGCAGAUAUUCACGUAACUUUGGCAACCUUUAACAUUUAAUUUGAAGUUUGUCUGGAAUAACCACGACACAUAUCUGUGACGUUCUCACUCGUCUAAACUGCAGUUUUAGAAAUGUAUUCUUGUAUUUAUAUCUCUGUGAGGUCUAAAAACCUACAAACCUGACAUUUUGUCAGACCUGGUUUUAGGGUUAGUUCAUAUAGUUUUGAUGGUGACAGUUGGGGUUAGGGGUGAGGGAGGUCUAUGUUGACCCUCACUAUUGUUUACAGGAUGAGGAGAAACUCACCGAGAACACUGAGCAGCAGUUCUCCUACACCCGGGUCUGCGGUCUCUGGCGGGUUACUGACCAUGCAGCGGUAAACACCAGCAUCUGACACGCGUGUGUCGUUCAGGACAAUAUCUGCACUCCAGGGAAUACCUGCAGCAUGUCCCAGUGGCUGCGGACCUUGUCACGCCGAGACUGGGACAAGACUGAAGUUCUGGAACUGAACCUGCAACCUCAUGGACUGGAGAACAAAGCCUCCACUCCACCAAUCCCUGAUGUGUUGGGUCUUUUCAUCUCCUUUCAAUCUUCACCUUGGACGUUGAACUUUAAAAGUCUUGUUCUUCAUAAGAAUUUCCCACAAACACAGAAAUCUUCCAGUUGUGAUGUUGAUCCUGUGCAUGAGGUACAAAGUUUGGUUCCAGAAAACUGGGGACAGUCCUUUUUUAAUUUUGGACGCGGUUGUGAAACGGAACCUGUCGGGCAAGAACAACGACCACAAGGACUCCGUAUAAAGUCCUGAGAUUUUUGUAAGACUGUAAGAAUGUUUAACAUUUUGACCUGGAUGAGAAAUUCAGAUUAAGCUCAUCAGGACGAAAGAGCUCAAGAUGAUUUGUAUCUCUGAAGUUAUGAGUUCAAAUCUCACAAUUAAUUGAAUUUCACACAACAAUAUUUUAUACUUCAGACCAAAAACAGAACUAAAAAAUGCGAGGAAAAUGUUGUUUGACAGCUCAGUGAGAAAAGCUAUUGCAGUAAGAAUAAGACUCUGACGUUGUGAGUUCAGUUUAAGAUUCAAUAAAAGGCAGCCCGUGUCCAAGUGGAAAGGGAACUUGACUUGUAACCGCAGGGUCGCCGGUUUAAAUCCCCACCCGACCAGAAAGGGCUGGGGGAUGGGUCAAAUGCAGAGGAAUACUUUCCCUAAGGGGAUUAAUAAAAUUCAAUUCUUCUCUAAGAUCUAAGAAAACCUCAGCACUUGUUGGAGCAGGUGGAUCUGUGGAUACCACUGCUCUGAGGUUCCAGGGUCAUAGGUUCAAUUCUUAUAAAGAACAGGACAUUUUUAAGUUCAUCAUCCAAAGUGAAGAUUGAAAGAAGACAAAAAGUCCUGCAUCUGUCAGGAGUUCAUGGCGUGGUAACGUUGUUCAGUCCACAAGGUCACAGGUUCAAUUCCAUGUUUGUGGUUUUUUUGCGGGAUGUGAAACGUAGUGACAGCAGAGCCUGACGAGGACACCUCCGAGUGUGGCAGAUGAAUAAGUGAAUUGAAGACAUGUUUUUGGUGAAUUCAGGGAUUAAUUUUUCAUCAAUGAAUGAUGAGUACAAACUGUUCUUUGAUGACAUUGACUCCUCCUUCUGAUGCUCUGUCUCUGUGGGAGUAAUUACCAGCGCUGAAAAUAGCCCGGAGGACAAGGACACCGCUUCUCUACUCACAACAUCAUGGGUUCAAAUCCCACUGAAGACCUGUAUUGGACUUUCUGGGCUGGAGAAAGGAGCCAGAGUCCAGAUGAUGUUGAGUCUGGAGAGAGGGCUGGAGGUGAAGAAGGAGCAGGGCAAGAUGACAGUGUGUCCCUGCACAACCUCCACCCUGAUCUGUCUCAUCGUUACUCUGAGAGCAACUGUGUGGAUUUAAGGAAUUAAGAAGAAAACAUGUGAAAGCAGACAUCCGUCUUUAGGCUCUGCAGUUGGGAUUAUUUCAGGGUUCUCAUCGCUUGUGUCCAGGUCUGUGAGAAUGAAAGGUUCACUCACUUGUUGUUGCGUUGCUUUGGAGUCAGUGUGAGUCUGCCGUUCUCGUUGUUGUAUGUCUUUAACGUUUUUACAAGUUAACGUAAAGGUAUUGAGGGGAUUUAAAUAAAAACCAAACCAAGACAAAUGUCAGUGAAAGAG